UGUAGGAGGUGCAAUUGGAAAAAAUUACAAAAAUAUAUCUGCUUCCUUUUAGCAAAAUAAUUUGUAUUUAUUUGUUCUUUCUAUUAGGAAGCUUUUGCAGUGUUCACUAUUGUAACUUUUAUUGUUUCAUUGAGUAAAUUUUGCUUCCAAAUUAUUACCCACAACGAAAAACUAAAACGAGACAAUCAAAUGCCAGGUCAGUUAAUUGAUCUCAAUUGGGGCUACAAUCAUGCGAAAAUAAACAAAAAUCGUUGGCGCUGGUAUUUGAUUAGGAGUCAGAAUGAAUACGAAUUUUAUUUUCGAUUUGAAUCGAAUUCAAUCGAACCGAUCAUAUUUUCUUUGGUUAUCGAAACGUUUGGGAAUUUAAAUAAAGUUUCGGAGAUGCAGAACAUAUUUCUAACAUAAUUUUCUUAGCUUGCCUUUUAUGAAUUUAUCCUUAAAAAAAGUUCUUCAUCUAAAAAUAACAGAAAAAUUGUCAAAACUAUUAUUUAAAUGUGAAAGCUGCCAAUAAAAAAGUCUUAGGCUAUGCUAACAGCCAGUCAUCUAGUCGAUUAAGAAACCAAACCAAACUAAACACUAGCAAUUAACACUCGAUUAGCCGAUUAAUUACAAAAUUGGACAGUUAAGAAAGAUGUAUGUGUGUGUGUGUGUGUGUUGUUUUUUUUUUUAUAUUCUGCCAAUUGGUUUGGCUGGAGUGUUGGGUUUAAUUGCUGUCGAGCGCUUGUUAAAUGCUUUGCAGUUAAAAGCGCUGCCGUCAGUUGCAAAAAUGGCAACAAUUCAUCACAUGUCGUGCUGGCUGUGAUUUUAUUAAGUGACGCUGAUGGUGAUUGAAGCACAGCUGGCACAUCAACACCUGGCACAGGUGCAGAGGUACAGGUACAGGCGAAACAGGAGCCGGCACAGCCAGAAGCCCGCCGUCUGCACCCCGUGCGGCACGAGCUGCAGGCCGCAUAAAUCUUGGCUGUCAACUGCAGAGCAUCCCAAAUAGAAGAAAGAAGAGCAGAACGUCAAGUAAGAAACAAACAGGCAGCAAGUAAGUGCUGCCAGGCAUCGAUGAAACAAAUUGCGAGCGGGCAUGAUAAUUAUGCAGCAUGUAUAAUAUUAGAGCCUCCAUAUAUGUAUGUAUAUAUAUAUAUAUAUAUAUAUAUAUAUAUAUAUAUAUAAAGAAGCAGCGACACGCAACUGUAAUGACAUUCCAUUUUAUGAAUGGGCAUUUAUCAUAAUUAAAAAUUCUGCCUUUUGCCGGCAAGCAGCGAUUGCCGCAGUCGCAGCCACGACGUUUCUGACCUAAGACAUGCCACAACGAGUGCGUCACGAGGACGAUGAUGACGACGACGUCGACGCCGACGACAAGGACGAGGACGUGGCUGACUGGCGUAUAUUAACGUUUAGGCCCAUUGCUCCAUUGGCUUCAUUUCAACAGCUCAACAGCUGUUUGGCUUGGGACACGCUUUUGGGACUCUGGCAUGCAAAUGAGCAGCAGCUAACUGUGGCAUUGGAAGCAUGCCACACACACGCACACACACACACCCGCUCUCACUCUUUUAGGAAGCCUGUUGGUGUUUUGCCGUCAGAGCGCAUGCGUCGCGUCCCAAAAGCCUCAAAAACACACCCAAAAUGCCAGCGCGCUCUUAAGUAUGCAACACUUUUUGCCAUAAAACACGCUCUCGUUGUGCCCGACUGCGUAGCUCUCGGCUGUGCGACUCGGCUCGGAUGUGUGGCAGCUACUUCGGCUGCGGCUGCGGCUGUGGCAGCGGCUCGUUAACGACAUGUCGCCACUUCGCAUGCCGUUGUCGUUGGCUUCAGUUGUGCUAGCAGCUUGCCGCGUGUUCUCGUCCUCUUUGUGCUGUCGCUGUCGUUUGUCGUCUUUGCCGUCGCCUAAGUCAACGUGGCGUAUGCUCAAUUUGAUCAGUGAUUAAGAUGCUGCAUUUGCCGCUAAUCGAAUGAGCCGAGUGCCGUGUGCCGUCGCGCCAAUGCCAAAAAUAUUAAGUGCCAUAUGAAUACACACAAAAGUGACGCCUAAAGGGCUGGCGGGUUGACGGUUUGACGGUUGACGGGUUGACAGGCAAACGGUUGACGCCUCAAGCGUCUGUUUGGCAAUCGCAAAUUUUUGCCGCGCCAUGUGAAUUUCAACAAAAACAACAACAGCAACAACAACAACCAAGUCGUAAUCAGUUUUGUCUUGCUGUGUGUGCGUGUGUGUGAACAUGCGUAGCUCGCACGCAUGUGUGUGCGUAUGUCAGCGUGUGUAAUCCAAGAAAAUCUGUCACGUGCUUCGGAUAUCUCUUUGUGCAACUCCACACGCAACGUACUUAUUGAAUAAAAUAAAAGAUAAUUGCGCCUGAAAUACAGACACACACCACUCAGCCACACAAAUCCAAAGGAUACGAAAUUGGCCUCAAACUGACAGAUGUUGUUUUUCAGCUGGAAUAACAACUUUUCCGCGUGGGUCAAUGUGUGCGGCCUUCGGAGUGUGAAGAACUAAAUAAGAGCUUACUUACAGCGCAGCCAGUGGAGAGCUCAUAAAACUAAAAGAGAGAAAAUAGAAGACAAACUAAAACAAUAACAGGCACAAAUAAACAAUCGUAUGCAAAAAUUAUGAACAGUCGUCAAAGUGCGGAAGUGUGAAAAGUUUGCGCAAUAAAAUUGGCAAUAAAAUCGAAAAAAAAAACCAAAACAACCGUCCCAUAAAAGAACGCCGACUUUUGCGAUAUACUUGUAUAUCUACAAA